GGCGGAGGUGAAGAUCAUGGACCGUGCCCGCUUUGGGAUUUGUUUUUUACGGGAACACACUAUAUCGGGCGAUCUUUCGUUUUGACUCGGAAAAUGAGUUUCCGUGACCACUUGUCUUGUCAACUGUCAGUUGACAUAUCGAAAUGGGAAGAGAAAGCCAAUGGAUCGUGCGUGUUUGUUCCUCUGUGUGUUAUAUUUACAUUCCACAACCCAUAAAAAUAGAACAAGCACUUACACACACACACACACACACAAACAACAAGCACACACACCCACACAACUCAUUACCUUUCAAUACGUCAACUGACGGUUGGUCACGGAAACUAACGAAUUCAGUGUUUACCUCUUUCGAGUCAAAACGAAAGAAUGUCCUAUGUCGAUGGCGGAGAUUCCGAAUCUACAAAAAAAAAAAAAAGCAUUUCAAAAUUUUAAUCCCCCACUCCCAUUUCUUAAAUUAAAAAAAAAAUUCUUUUGGCAAAAAACGUAGAAAAAUACGGAGAUUAUGAUUCUGAAAAAAUAAUUUGUAAAGUUUCAAUUUUUCAAAGAACCCCCCCCCCCACUUCUUCCUUAUGACAUGAAGUGAAAUUAAAGUAUUUUCUCUGAUGUUUCCUGACGAACAUAACAACCGAACAUGUGGUCAGGGUCUUUUGGAAUUAAAAGAGGGUGAAAUUCUGCUGCUAGUGAAGAAGAUCAAGCAGCAGUAGGACAGACAAGAUGAAGAACCUUGCAAUUUGAAACUCUAUCGAUAUUUUCUGGCUGCCAGUUUCGCUAUUAACUAUUUUGAAUAAACAAAUAAAAUCUGCUUCCUUACUA